UUCCAACCAAGUUACAUUUACUAUUUACUUCGCUUGUUACUAUUGCUAUUUCAUUUAAACAUUUACAACUCUUAGAAUUAAUAAACACUAGAUUUAAUUGUUCCCUAUCUCCUUGUGGAUUCGAUCCCUAAGUACUACAUCUGAACCUCUUUUGAUGAGAGUAACACUCCUUAGGGUAAUUUGAGUGGUAUCAAGACCUGACAUUACUUUCGCAGUAAACAAGCUCUGUCAGUAUUGCUCUGCUCCAAAACAAUCUCACGUCCGUGCGGCCUACAAAGUCUUACAUUACUUGAAAGGCUCAAAUGGAAUGGGAUUGUUCUAUGCAGCUAAUAUUGACUUGACACUCAAGGCUUUCACAGAUGCAGAUUGGGGUGCUUGUAAAGACAUUAGACGUUCCACAACUGGUUAUUGUAUGUUUCUUGGAUCAUCAUUGAUCACUUGGAAAUCCAAGAAGCAAGACACUGUCUCUCAUUCUUCGGCAGAGUCUGAAUAUAUAGCAAUGGGUCAUGGUGAUCGAGAGAUCGAGUGGCUAGUAAAACUACUCAGAGAGUUUGAUGCGCCUCAAGACAAUCAUGUUGCUUUCUUCUGUGACUCAACUGCAGCUAUUCACAUAGCCAACAAUGCAGUUUUUCAUGAGCGAACUAAGCACUUGGAAUCGGAUUGUCAUAAAGUUUAUGAUCAUGUCAAAGAGGGGCUCAUCAAGACUCUUCAUGUCACUUCAGCUAAUCAAGUAGCUGACAUAUUCACUAAACCAUUACAGCCGGGACUCUUUCAUUCUAUUGUUGGCAAGAUGGGACUUACUUCAAUCUCGUCGCCAUCUUGAGAGGGACUAUUAGAGUAUUGGUUUAGAUUGGUUCAAUGUAUUAGAUGGUUAACUCAUUCCGGUUAACUAACUUCUAUAUAAAGACAGUUUCAUUGUAACAGAAAUUUUGAGCUGAAUGAACGUAACAAACUUUUCUCAUCUUAAUAGAUACAAUAUAAAAUCGAAGGACAAAAUAAGACUGUAUGAGAAUUCGAGUAUACUGUGAUUUAAGAUUAUGUGGGGUACAAAGGGGCCAAUAUCCUCUUCUCCUAAUUCUUCUAUAGUCGUCUGUAUGAGAAUCAUAACGUAGGCUUUAUCUUCAACUUAUAUAUGGCACCAUAAAUGUUUCGUUAAAUGUUUUGAUCUUCUUUAACGUUUUCAGUUAUCUGGUCAGAGCGGCGUUGACUCCCUUGGACUCGAGAUGAGCAUUCAUCCUUCUUUGGUUUGUUAUCUUCUUAAUAAGCCUUUUGACUAAUUGGGUCGAAUCUUUAAAUCAGAUGUGGAGUUGGGUGAAACCCACCUCCAAUAGUAAUUUACUAGAGGUCGGUGUGUUUCAGAUCGUUAGCUAGGUCGAGUGUUGGCUCCAGUAGGAUAGCGUAUUUGUGACUGGCAAUUUAUGAUUUUCAAAACCUGAUUCAAGAUUUUAAUUCUCUAAAUUAAUUGUUGAUUUGGCAUGGCGCUUGAUUGACAUAAAUCAAGAAAUUUGAUUUUCCUUCAUUGGAAAGUGAAUCAAUUUGAUGUGGGAAAUCAAUUUUCUUUUUUUUUUGGUUUUGGUGUGAAGAUAUAAGCCCUUUGUCAUUCUUCUUUUUCUCUUUACUUUUACCACUACGUAGUAAUCCGUGCCUUGCGCGAGAUGAGGUUGUUAAUUAUGUUAUUUUUAAGAUGUUAAGACAUUAGGUCUAUUUAUUUUGGAUAUCAGUUUGGUUUUGGUUUAUUUUUUCGGAUUUUAAUAUCCUAUUAUAUAACUAAACUAGCUUUUGACCCGCGUGGGUGUUUUUCUUUCAUGAUUGUUUGUUUUUCACUUUGCACAUAUUCAUGUUAAUAAUUGGUUAUUGUGUUUUUUGACAUUGGUGUUUCUUCUUCAGAUUGUUUAGUUUUUAUUUAUAAACCAUGAACUUAUAUUCUCUUUUAUUGAAAUUUUAUGCAUUUAACUUUAUUUUGAGAAAUUUUUUAUUCAUUUAACUUGGUAAGAAAAGAAUUAAAGUGUACAAUAUUAGACUAUUAAGUAUAAUUGUAUGUGUUAUAUUAAAUUAUAAUAGAAAUAUUUUUAUUUAAAGUAAAUUUUAAAUAUGAUAAAAUAAAGAUUUUUUAAACAAAUACAUUAUAUAACCAGUAACAUGAGAAAAUAAUGAAAUAAAGUAAACAAAACUACAUGCACUUAUAUAUUACUAGAUUUUGGCAAUUUUAUUAGAAGCCCAUUCAACAAUAAUCGAAGCCCAUGCCAAACAAAAAAUCUGAAGCCCGUCUAAUUUUUUGUCCCGGGAAAGAAACAGAAACAUGCCUUGUACGACUUUUAACAUUCCCGUAGAAAAUGAUACUUCUCUAUCACUUAUUUCUUUGCCGUUGUUUUUUUGCUUAAAAAAACAAAUGUUGAAGUUAGAUUUAGUGAUUAACACCACAGAUCUUGAUUAUGGUUCACGCAAAAACUACACAUACCUUGAUUUAGGCAUGCAGGUUUGAGUUUGUAGAUUUAGGUUCAAGUUUAUUUCCAAGUAAAUCGAUUAUUUUUUUUAAUUCAACAUUCUGUGUUAUGAUUUUCAAGAUUAAAAUAUUCACGAUUGACACUCUUUUCAAAGCUGAGCAGUGGUUUACUGAAAGAAAUGUAUGAUCUUCCUGGAACCGAGACCCUUCAAUCGAAUAUAGACAGAGCCCGGACACGGUAUAUUCAUCAAUCAAAAACCUCUUUCACUUUACAGAUCUUUUAAGAAUCAAUACAAGCUCUGCUUUGCUUUCGGUUGUCCUGGAAUGAUUAGGUUAUUUCAGUUUGUGUAACCGUGGUCGGAAUGAAAGAGAUAUCAGUUUGAGUACGGUACAUGUGUAUUUUUUUUGCAAGUUUCAUGGAUUUUGUUUCCCUAGCAAACAAAAUAUAACAGAGGUAGUAUUAGAUUAUCGUUAAAGCAGUAAACUGUUAUAGAUAUAAUGCUAGAAACGUUUAGUAAGAUAGUUUUACCCAUUGGUCUGCUAAAACCAUCUCAAAGUAUCUCCAAAAGAUGUGUUCUGCCUCCUAGAAUGAAAGCACGUAACUUGGACUCGGCAGUUAUUCUUAUACGGCCUGAGUUUUGUGAGAGGAACAAAAGUAGUCAUCUUACACAUUUUUGGAGGUUUUACUUUGAACAAUAUUGUUUUGACGUUAUAGGGGAAGAUGUAUAUAUAGCUAGUUAGGAAAAAAAUAGGGUUAACGCCACAAAAAUUUGUAAAGAUCUUGUUAGUCGUGAAUCAUGAUAUCCAGCAUUAAAACCGAAUAUACUAUUAGAAUAUAUUCCUAAAAUGAUUUGUUAUUUAAAAAUUAACAUAUUUUAAGGAAUGUGGGUUUUUAAUAGUUAAUAUUAUACGUGAUUUGCAAGAUUAGAAUGUAAUUUGUGGUAAUUAAUUGAUAAUAUCCUAAUUGUUUUGUUGAUUGCGCAAAUAUAGGAAAAUAUUUUGAAAGAUAAUUUUGUUAAGGAAAAUAAUAAUUGAUUAGUUUUGAUUUUAAAUUCGCAAAUAUAUAGUGAUAAGAUCGUAUUGCUUUAGUUAGUUUUGAUUUUGAAUAUAUACUAUGAUAAAAAUAUCGAUAUAUAUAUAUAUAUAUAUAUGAAUAAUGAAUUUUAUAUCCAUUUAAUAGACUGGUUUUGAUUAUGCAGACUAAUAUUAUCCGAGGAAUAUCACAAUGGAACUCUAUGGUUUAGUAAAAUUAUGGAAAGGUAUGUAUGAAUCUAAAUUAUUGAAUCCUAUGAUUUUUGUAGACCAAGAGGAAGAAGGUAGGUUAAAAAUUUCAUUACAUAUUGUGCUAUGGUUAUGCAAUGAUAUGUUGGAAAAUAGCUAUUAAUUGUAUUCAGAUGGUUUAGUAUUGUUAAGAUUUUCUUAUGGUUUGGUAAUUAUAUGGUUUAGUUGAUAAAAGAAACGGCUCUGUUUAAAGUUUAGUGGCAGGCGUUUAAUAUAAAUGGUUUCGUAUAGGUUAUGGUUUAGUAAUUUAUCGGUUUAGUCAUAAAAAGAAACGGCAGUGCUAAAUAUAGUGGCAUUGGAUGGUAAAUUUUUAGGAAACCUUAGGACUAUUUCUUUUUUGUACUCCAGUUUUAAUAGAUUAAGACUAGCUUUUGACCCGCGCGUCCGCGCGGAUGUAUGUUCGAUGUAAUUAUAUGUUUUGUUUAUUGUAAAAAUAUUCAUGUUAUUGUUUCAUAUGUUAUUAGUUGUGACAUUGGUGUAUCUUGUUUAUGUUGUUUAGUGUACAUUUUUAAGCUUUGAGGUUGUAUUGUUCUUAUAUUGUAAUUUUUUUUUACUUGGUAAACUAAACAUAAAGUGUAUAAUAUUAGAACAUUUAUUUGAGAUUUAAUAGUUUUAUUAAAUAAGAAAAUCUAAAAUUUGUGAUUUAUAGCUUGUUUUAAAUUUUUGCUUAUAUAGCUUUACAAACAAUAAAAUCGCUAGCAAAUAUACAAACAAUUGGAAAAGUAACCCAAAAACAUAUAAAAAUAUGUAUAUCUCUAUUAAAUAUUUACAAAGCCUAAUUAGAUGAAUUGAUUUGCGCCAUUUUGUUAUGGUUUUAAAAUAUUUAUCAUUUGUAACCGAAUAAAUAGUGGACCUGAAUCACAAAUCAAAAUCUAUGUAAUUUUUUUUUUUUUGGGAAAUAAACAGAAACACGUCUGCCCUGCUACCAGCUGCAUUGAUUUGAACAUUUUUAAUUACUCCCCAUUUUUCAACUGGUAUAGCAUGCUGAACAUGGUACAUGUGUGUUCUUUUGCAACAGGCUUGGAUUUUGUUUCCCUACAAAACAAAACAGAGGAAAUAUUAGUUUAGCUUGUUAAAGCAGUCACCUGUUAUAACACAACAAAUGUUUAGAAAUAUUGGUUUACCCAUUAGUCUGUUAAUACCAUCUCAAAGGUAUCUCUAGAAGCGGUGUUCAUCUUGUAAGCACUUAACUUAAACUCGCUGAUUAUUUUUAUAAGGCCUGAGUUUUGUGAGAGCAUGAAAAGUAGUCAUAGUAGAUAUUUUCGGAGGAUUUGCGUUGAAUGAUAUGGUGUUUAGAUUAUUAGGAAAGAGGUAUAUAUAGCUAGUUAGGAAAGGUUAGAGUAAGUCAAUAUUAAUAUCUAAGAUUUUGUUAGUUGUGAAUUUUUAGUAUUAUAUAGCGAAUAUCCUAUACGAUUUUAUUCCAAGUUUGAUUCUUUGCUUAACGUAAUAAACGAAUAUAAGUUGAGAAAAUUAAGAUAUUUUACGUGAACGGCAAGAUUAAGCACACAAAAAGAUUUUGUGGUAGUUGAUUGAUAUGAUAUUUGUUAUGAAUGUUUAAAUAUAUGAAUAGAUUAGUGGUGGGCUUUCGGGUACCCAUUCAGGUUUGGUUCGGGUCUAUUCGGGUUUCAGAUUUUCGGGGUCAAAGAUUUCAGCUCCAUUCGGGUAUUUCUAAGUUUUGGUUCGGGUUCGGUUUGGAUCUUUGCGGGUUUGGUUCGGAUUAAGAUAACCCAUUAAAAUUAUUUUUAAAAUUUUAAAAUUCAUUUUAUAAUUUAAAUUUCUCAAAAUAUACAAACAAAAUAAUAUAUCACAUAUAAAUUUGAAUAACAUAUAUCAAAAUACCUAAACUUAACAUAUAAUUUGAUUUGGUUUGAAUAUUUGGAUAAAUAAUCAAUAGAUAUUUCAAGUAUUUUUGAUGUUUUGGGUAUAUUUAAGCUAUUUUAUUCAUUUACCUUUGACUAUUUGUAUAUAUUUUUAAGUAUUUGAACAAUUUAAAAAUAUCUUAUAUAUUUUGGAUGUUUUUAAUAGAAAUUAAAUCUAAAAUAUAUUUAUAUACGGGGUAUACAAAUCUAUUUUGGAUACAUUCGGUACCCGAAAUACUUCGGUUCGGGUCGGAUUCGGUUUUGGUUUUGGUUCUUUAGAUACCAAAAUUUUGAAUCCGUUCAGAUAUUUAAUCAAUUUCGGUUAUGAUUCGAUUCGGUUCUUCGGAUUCAGAUUUUUUUUCCCACCUCUAGAAUAGAUAGUAGAGUAAAAAUUGUUUUCAUAAACAUUUUUAGUUGUUCUGUGAGUAAGAAUUUGAUUCCACGCUAUAGGAAUGUUGUAUAUAUACUGUUUGGUCGAGUCUAUAGGUUAAAAAAAUCUUGACUAAAUAUUAGUCAAACAUGAUUUACACAUUUUAAAAAGAAUAUAUACAUAUCUUAAAAUAUUUAAUAACAAUUCUUUUUAUUUUAAUAGUUAAUCAGUUAGGGUUGGUUAAGAUAAGAGAUUUAGAUCUUGUACUAUAAAAUAUCAUACAAUUAAGAUGUUUUUUAAAAAAGAAUUAUUAUAUUUAGUCAUACGUGAUUUCACGUUUUGGAAAUAGAAUAUACAAAUUUUGAAGUAACACUAAUAAAUGUAUUUUUACAUUUCCAUAUUUUAUUAGUUAAUAUUACCUUUUGAAUAGAAUGCAUUUGAAGUUUGAAAGGAAUAUAUAUGCAGAUUUUGUUUGUAAGAUUGAUAUAGAUUUGGUUAUUGUGAUAGCUUAAAAAUAGGAGUCCUCUUUGGAAUUUUUUUUUAUAUUAAGGUUCUACAAAAUUAAUGAUAUAGAUUGUGUGUGCAUCGAAAAAUCUGCUGAAUAUAACAUUCCAAAUUUAGUAUUUCAUAAAUGGUUCGGCUAAAUAAUAUUAAAAACGUGGUUACACAAACCAUAUGUAAGUAUGCAGUUUGGUAUGAAAAUCUUUUACAGACCACCAAAUACAGAUUAUAUACAUAUAAUAUUAAUUUUCUUGAUCAGAGUAUAUAAUUGAAGUACACGUUUGGUUAAGUAUUAGAUGAAAUAUAGUAGACUUAAUAUAUUAUAAUUUUAUGUUAUAGAUUUGACAAACAUGGUUCUUUAUAUUAGCAGUUUACGACUCUACAGCAUUGGAUAGAUUGAAUUUAUGACGGCAUUCAAAUUUCUAACCGAGUUAAGGUUGGUUAAGGGAACACGUGAUAUUUGGUUAAUUCAAUUAAUUGAAUUAAGGUUGAUUUGUAAUGUUGUUAAAUGAGUCAGUGGCAUGCAAUGGUAAUUAUUGUGGAAAAUUAAGGGUUAAGUACAUUUUGUACUUCAGUUUUAAUAGUUUAGAUUGUAAAUUCAUAUUUAUUUUUGUAUAUUAGGUUAAAAUGGUUGAGGUUUUUUGUAAUAAAUCAAAGCUAAUUAGUAUUUGUUUGGUUUUAUGUUAUCAAAAUUUUAGACAAUCCUCAUGUCCACAAAUCAUUUCAUAUUAUAAUUUCUAAACACAUUUAUUAUAAAAUCAAAUCUAGAUACUUGUUGAAGAAAAACAAAAGAAAAUUAUAAAGAAAAAUUAUUUUUAUUACAACUAGGUUAAUGAUGAAAUGAAGAAUUAAAAAUAAUAAUAUUCUAUAUUACUUCUGAAUUAGACUCCUCACUUGCGGUUAAUAUUUAAUUAUAUAGGUACUCACUUAAUGUGCAUAUGUAUAUGUAUGUAAACAUUUUAAAAACUGUUUCAUAAAUAUAUAAAGAUACCGUUAGUUAACGUUGAAAGAAAUUUUGCUCAAUAUAACAAAUGAAAUAUAAAAUUCUUAAAUAAAAUCUAUUAAAAAUAAAAUAGACUUAGUCAUUACCAAAUAAUUUUUUUUAUCUAUUGAAAAUCAAAUUGUAUACAUAAACAAUAAAUUUAAUACAUAUACAAAUUGAGUCUGCUGAAUUUUAUUCUUACAUAGUGUUACACCUUGGUCCAAUCAGAUUUUAACAUUCAUACAUUAUGGUUCAACAUAUAUUUUACAAUUGGGUCUGCGUAAAAUCAAAGCAAACAUAAGAUUCUAAAAUAUGUUUGGACAUUAGGGCCCAUAACAAAAUAGUGAUGUACUGCUUAAAUCUCAAAAACGACGACUGAAAGUGUAUAGGGUUUCGUCUUCACCGCGAUAGACCACAAAACUUUGCAAUAUUCGAUCUGUUCAGUCGAUUCUUUCAAAUCAAUCACCACAAGUUAUUUCUAUUUCUAUAUGUUACUUCACUCCUUUGGAGAAGAAGGUUACAAAAUUCGAUCUCAUCAGUCGAUCCAGUCCCAUGCAUCACCGAUUGUUCUUCACUCGAUCCUUUCGACAUCAUCACCAAAAUUUCUCCCAAAAACCUUGAUUGAAGUAAUUAGUCAAGAGAAGUUUCUGAAAUCCGAGAUUGAGAUAAAUUUCUAAGGUUUCGGGUUUAGGGAAUGACUAAAAUGAAUGGAAGAGGCGAGUCUUAUAUUGCUUUACUAUAACAAACGUCAGAUACACAAGCACAUCUUCAUCAUCCAAAAUAUAUGAUUGCCUCUUAGGUUCCACUAGCAAUGGAAUAUAACUCAAAUUCAGCCUCUUUGUACACGGAUCUAUGGUCUUCUUCUUGCAUAUCCUCUCCUUCAAAAACGAAUAAGUGAUCUCAUCCAAUGAUGAUGUCUUAAAAAAUAUAGCAUACAAACGACCAUCGCUUGGAAUCCAUUCACAAUCAUCUCCAGAUUUCUCAUAAUGUCCAUUAUAGUCAAAGUGUAUGUUUGUAGAAGAAUAACCCAUUAUCUGUUGUACAAAAAAAUUAAACUCUUAAAGUUAUUCAUAGUUAUCUAGUUUUUCUAUUGAAGUUAUACUAAGUUAUAUCUUAUUACACAUUUUUGUCAGGGAGUAAAGUUUCGCCUACUUACAAUUUUCUAGUCUACCAGGUUCACACUAUUCAACCCAUUCAUUUGGGAAAUUCAGCUUUGAUCCCCGACUUUUCUUGUUGAUUAUCCAAUUCCACACACCACUCAACUCCCACACUUUCCCAUUCUCCCCUAAUUGACAACUCAAAUAUGAAAUCUACUGUCUCACUAACCGAACGAGCUUUUCAUUCCACUUUGAUGAGGUUAUAAGAUACAGACUGGAACCAAGAUAAUGUUUUACCUGAAGUUGGGGAUCCAUUGCUCAAUGAUUCAGCAUCCAAGCGAGCAGCCGCAGUCUCCUUUAGAAUCGAAGAAUCGCUGAUUUCGAUUUUAGGGUAGGAGAGCUCCUCUCGCGCCACACCCAAUAAUAACCGUAUUGGAGGAGAGAGAAACAAACAAUAAAUCCUAAUAGAGAGAGAGAAACAAUAAGAAAACAAUAAACCCAUAAAUCCAUCUCGACAGGAGAGAAAGAGAAAUCGCGCUUUGAUUGGUCAUAUAGAGAGGGGCACUUUAGACUUUGCCCAUCGAUUUGAAGAGUAUCAGAAUAGACAAGAGUACACCAGAAUUCGUAAGAGUAAGCCACAAUACUUUUUACCUCAUUAA